CCCCUAGAUGUUCUGGGCCGCACGCGCGCUACACUGAACAGUUCAACAAGUCUUAACCUUGGCCGAGAGGCCUGGGCAAUCUUUGAAUAUGCAUCGUGAUGGGGAUAGACGAUUGCAAUUAUUCGUCUUCAACGAGGAAUUCCUAGUAAACGCAAGUCAUCAGCUUGCAUUGAUUACGUCCCUGCCCUUUGUACACACCGCCCGUCGCACCUACCGAUUGAAUGGUCCGGUGAAGGCUUCGGAGGCGGCUUUCUCAAUGUUUAUUCGGCGAGACUGCUGCCAAAGUUGAAUGAACCUUACCAUUUAGAGGAAGGUGAAGUCGUAACA
rnacentral:rRNA from 1 species